UACGGGGGGGGCAAGCGUUGUUCGGAAUUACUGGGCGUAAAGGGCUCGUAGGCGGCCAACUAAGUCAGACGUGAAAUCCCUCGGCUUAACCGGGGAACUGCGUCUGAUACUGAUGAGCUUGAAUGCGGGAGAGGAUAGUGGAAUUCCCAGUGUAGAGGUGAAAUUCGUAGAUAUUGGGAAGAACACCGGUGGCGAAGGCGGCUAUCUGGCCCGUAAUUGACGCUGAGGCGCGAAAGCGUGGGGAGCAAACAGG
rnacentral:rRNA from 1 species